rnacentral:lncRNA from 1 species
GAUCCAGCGAAUAAGGGGUUUCCUUGAACCUGCUGGGUACGAGGCCGAGGAAACACUAAUCACCCCUACACAAGCCUAGUAUGGGCGGGUCACGCACAUACUGUCGGCACACUCACACAACACAAACUCAAUCUAGAGCCUAACCUAAAGAUAAAGUUCCAGAUCCUAACUAGACACGACUCCACAACACAAACCAAUAGUACCAGUAGUCCGGCCUAUAUGGCCUAAGACAAUUAGUACUAACUACUAAACAAUAAUAUGAAUACUAAACAACACAAUCAAACCGUUACCCAGAUAGUCCAGCCUCCCACUGAGAAACUAUCUUUAAAGAUAACGGGAACCUGCACUCAAUAAUAUCAACACGCAAUAAUAGAAAACAUGAUGCAUCCUAGCCCUAGUCCUAGUCAGGUUAUUAACUCAGUCUUAAUUCCAUUCAUCUUAGCUUAGCCCUUGCUAAACUGAGUCCGGUUCCAUAAAUAAAAUAAC